ACGGGUGAGUAAUGCGUAGGAAUCUACCUAGUAGUAUGGAAUAGCCAUUAGAAAUGAUGGGUAAUACUGUAUAAUCCCUGCGGGGGAAAGAUUUAUCGCUAUUAGAUGAGCCUACGUUAGAUUAGCUAGUUGGUAAGGUAAUGGCUUACCAAGGCUAUGAUCUAUAGCUGGUCUGAGAGGACGAUCAGCCACACUGGAACUGAGAUACGGUCCAGACUCCUACGGGAGGCAGCAGUGGGGAAUAUUGGACAAUGGGCGAAAGCCUGAUCCAGCUAUGCCGCGUGAGUGAAGAAGGCCUUCGGGUUGUAAAACUCUUUCAAUAGGGAAGAUAAUGACGGUACC
rnacentral:rRNA from 1 species